rnacentral:rRNA from 1 species
UACGUAGGCAGCAAGCGUUGUUCGGAAUUACUGGGCGUAAAGAGUGUGUAGGCGGUUUUGUAAGUUCGGUGUGAAAUCUCCCGGCUUAACUGGGAGGGUGCGCCGAAUACUGCAAGGCUUGAGUGUCGGAGAGGAAAGCGGAAUUCCUGGUGUAGCGGUGAAAUGCGUAGAUAUCAGGAGGAACACCUGUGGUGUAGACGGCUUUCUGGACGACCACUGACGCUGAGACACGAAAGCGUGGGGAGCAAACAGG